AUGGGCUGGGGGCCCGGCACUGCUGCGGAAAUUCUAGCUCCAGCACAAGACAAUCCUGGGACAGGGGCCGUCCCCGCCUGCAGGAGCCUCCUCUCUACUUCCAGCACGGAGGGGCAGCGCAGCAGGGUACGCCGGAGGCAGGGUAAUGCCCAACGUGCUAUGGCCGGCCUGGAGAUUUGCCAGAAAAGCGCCAGGAGGCACCCACCCCCCCGACUUUGCCCUGCUCGGCUCCCAGGACCACCCCCUCGGGCUCAAGCUGUCGCCCUCAGCCGCUGCAUGGCAGAGACUGAGCUGGCCCGGGGCUUGCUCUGGGAGCCCCCGUCGCCAUCUCUGUUCUCCUCCCCCUCCUCCUCCUCAUCUCCACCACGUCGUAAGCUCCUGAGCCCGCCUCGGCUGUUGUGUCAGUUGCUUCUUCUACCCCCAUUUUUCACAGAAAUAUUUGAUCACAGAACAUCUGCUACCAUCUGCGGAACGUACUUCCCCAGUCGGCGGCUCUGCACUUCCCGUAGCUGUGGGCUCAGCCGCGGCGCCCCAUCCGGCUGCAUCCUCCAUGCCACCAGCCAGACACGGGUGACGCUUGCGGCGGGGCUCCGUAGGACAGGACACACAGCGUGCCAGCUGCGCCUUGGCGACUGACCGCGUCCCACUGGCCUUGUUAUGCUGAUUCUGCCCGCUGUUGCUUUAGACAUGAAAAUGCGCUCACCAGGCGACGCCUAGGACCUUUCUGGUGUGUCUGGCUCUUGCCAGUUCAGCGUAUCAAGAUCCGGGGCAGGCAGUUGGCGCAGCAGCUCAGAUGCUAUCUCAGAAGCUCCUGUCCCACGCGGGCGUGUCUGGGUUCAAGUCCCAGCUUCCUGCUGACGCAGACCCUGGGAGGCAGUGCUGGUGGCUCAAGGAAUUGGGUCUCUGCCGCUCACGUGGGAGACCUACGCGGAGUUUCUGGCUCCUGGCUUCCACCUGACUGAGCCCCACCCAUUGCGGGCAUUUAGGGGACGAACCAGCAGAUGGGAAUGGCCUCUCUCUCCCUUUCUGAUAAUUUUUUAAAAAAUCUUCAGUUGCUGGAAUUUUGAGGCACUCCCUGACACAGUGCUGACACUUCAGCCGCCAGCCAUCUACCGAUCGGCCUGCGUUUAUAUCCGGUUUCUAGGAACUGCAACUCCCACUUGAGUCUUUGGCUUAAUUAAUUCUACUGUCAAGCUUCUUACUAUUGAAACAAGGUUGCAAGGCCCAGCGUUGUGGCACAGCAGGUAAAGCUGCCGCCUGCAACAUAUGGGUGCUUGUUCAUGUCCCGGCUGUUCCAUUUCCAGCUCCCUGCUAAUGGCCUGGGAAAGCAGUGGAGGAUGGCCCAAGUCCUUGGGCCCCUGCACCCACGUGGGAGACCUGGAAGAAGCUCCUGGCUCCUGGCUUCAGCCUGGCCCAGCCCUGGCCAUUAUGGACACCUGGGGAGUGAACCAGUAGAUGGAAGACGUCUCUCUCUCUUCUCUCUUCUCUCUCUCUGUAACUUUUCCAAAAUAAAUAAUAUCAGUCUUUUUUUAAAGAUUUAUUU
rnacentral:lncRNA from 1 species